rnacentral:tRNA from 1 species
UUCCUGGUGGUCCAGUGGUUAGGACUUGGAGCUCUCACUGCCGGGACCCUAGGUUCAGUCCCGGGUCGGGGAACUA